rnacentral:rRNA from 1 species
AUUGAACGCUGGCGGCAUGCUUUACACAUGCAAGUCGAACGGUAACAGGCCGCAAGGUGCUGACGAGUGGCGAACGGGUGAGUAAUGCAUCGGAACGUGCCCAGUCGUGGGGGAUAACGCAGCGAAAGCUGUGCUAAUACCGCAUACGAUCUGUGGAUGAAAGCGGGGGACCUUCGGGCCUCGCGCGAUUGGAGCGGCCGAUGUCAGAUUAGGUAGUUGGUGGGGUAAAGGCUCACCAAGCCGACGAUCUGUAGCUGGUCUGAGAGGACGACCAGCCACACUGGGAAGGAGACACGGCCCAGACUCCUACGGGAGGCAGCAGUGGGGAAUUUUGGACAAUGGGCGCAAGCCUGAUCCAGCAAUGCCGCGUGCAGGAAGAAGGCCUUCGGGUUGUAAACUGCUUUUGUACGGAGCGAAAAGGCUCCCUCUAAUACAGGGGGCUCAUGACGGUACCGUAAGAAUAAGCACCGGCUAACUACGUGCCAGCAGCCGCCGUAAAAC